CUGGCGGCGUGCCUAACACAUGCAAGUCGAACGAGAAAGUGGAGCAAUCCAUGAGUAAAGUGGCGACCGGGUGAGUAACACGUGACUAACCUACCUCCGAGUGGGGAAUAACUCCGGGAAACCGGGGCUAAUACCGCAUAACAUCGCAAGAUCAAAGCAGCAAUGCGCUUGGAGAGGGGGUCGCGGCUGAUUAGCUAGUUGGCGGGGUAACGGCCCACCAAGGCGAAGAUCGGUAUCCGGCCUGAGAGGGCGCACGGACACACUGGAACUGAAACACGGUCCAGACUCCUACGGGAGGCAGCAGUGGGGAAUUUUGCGCAAUGGGGGAAACCCUGACGCAGCAACGCCGCGUGGAGGAUGAAGCCCUUUGGGGCGUAAACUCCUUUCGACUCGGACGAUAAUGACGGUACGAGUGGAAGAAGCACCGGCUAACUCUGUGCCAGCAGCCGCGGUAAUACAGAGGGUGCGAGCGUUGUUCGGAAUUAUUGGGCGUA
rnacentral:rRNA from 1 species